rnacentral:pre_miRNA from 1 species
UUAACUCAAAAAUGUAUGGAGUUGGAACGCUUGACUACGUUUGCCGCUAGAGGAGCGGUUCCAGCUGCAUACGAAUUUGAGUUA